GUUAUGCUUGGCCUAGUGCAUGCGGAGGUGAUGUGGCUCGUCACCAAAGACACGCGUGCGGGCCUUUGUUACAAACUCUAUGUGCAUUAGAUUUCGCUCGGGAUACAACUAUAAGGCGAGGAUGACAAUCACAGAAACCUUGUGUUACGAUGAAGAGAUGAUUCAAGAGGGAAGCCAAACUGGCCGAGGAAAGCAUGCAAGCUUCUUGCCAGGACGCCACUAGGACGUCCUGUUGUUGCACCUCUACUUAGAGCAGGAGGAUGGCUAGCCCUGUUUGUUUGCUGCAGCGCAAAGAUAUUGGUCUAUGGCCCUCACUGCCCAGGGUCACUGUCGAUGACUCCGUUGCCGGCAGCCGCGACAUUCAUGAUGUUUCUGGAGAGGACGCCACUGCCAGUGUCGUGCUCCUCGGCCAUGUUCUUCCUCGACCAGGUUAAGAUUCCAUGGUUGGUUCUUUGAAUAGAGGCAU